CAAAUGACUCUCGGCAAUGGAUAUCUCGGCUCUUGCAUCGAUGAAGAACGUAGUGAAAUGCGAUACUUGGUGUGAAUUGCAGAAUCUCGUGAACCAUUGAGUCUUUGAACGCAAGUUGUGCCCGAGGCCUUGUGGUCGAGGGCACGCCUGCUUGGGUGUCAUG
rnacentral:rRNA from 2 species